rnacentral:rRNA from 1 species
UGGGGGAUAUUGCACAAUGGGCGAAAGCCUGAUGCAGCGACGCCGCGUGGGGGAUGAAGGCUUUCGGGUUGUAAACCUCUUUCGCUAUCGAACAAGGCCCGCUUAGGGUGGGUUGAGGGUAGGUGGAGAAGAAGCGCCGGCUAACUACGUGCCAGCAGCCGCGGUAAUACGUAGGGCGCGAGCGUUGUCCGGAAAUAUUGGGCGUAAAGGGCUUGUAGGCGGCUUGUUGCGCCUGCUGUGAAAACGCGGGGCUUAACUUCGCGCGUGCAGUGGGUACGGGCAGGCUAGGGUGUGGUAGGGGUGACUGGAAUUCCAGGUGUAGCGGUGGAAUGCGCAGAUGUCUGAUGGGACACCGAUGGCGAAGGCAGGUCACUGGGCCAUUACUGACGCUGAGGAGCGAAAGCAUGGGUAGCGAACAGG